rnacentral:rRNA from 1 species
GGCCUUUUGAUAAUAAUUUUAGGUCUAGCCUGCCCACUGAAUGUUUAAAGGGCCGCAGUAUUUUGACUGUGCAAAGGUAGCAUAAUCAUUAGUUUCUUAAUUAGGAGCUGGAAUGAAUGGUUGAAUGAGAAAAUAACUGUCUAUAAUUUUAAUUAAUGUGAAUUUUAUUUUUAAGUUAAAAAGCUUAAAUUAUAUUAAAAGACGAGAAGACCCUAUAGAUUUUAAUAAAAUAAAAAUUUUUAAUUUUUAGAAAUUUAAUUUAAGUAUAAUAAUUUUAUUUGAUUGGGGUGAUUGAAAAAUUAAAUGAACUUUUUAUUUUUAAAAACAUAAAUUUAUGAAUAUAAUGAUCCAAGAAUUUUGAUUAUAAGAUUAAAUUACCUUAGGGAUAACAGCGUUAUUUUUUAUGAGAGUUCAAAUCGAAUAAGAAGAUUGCGACCUCGAUGUUGGAUUAAAAUAAAGUUUUGGUGUAGAAGCUAAAAUAUUAGGUCUGUUCGACCUUUAAAAUUUUACAUGA